UGGUGGUCUAGUGGUUAGGAUUCGG
rnacentral:piRNA from 5 species